AGGAUGGGCGAUGUGCCAUCGAUCAAAGCGCAUUCGCUUUGGGCCCAAAGCCAGAAACGCAUUUGGUAGUUGGUACGUAUAUGUAGAUGCAUACACGCAAACGAAGUGGAGGGAGCGUUUCAGGGAAUAUAACUAAAAAUAAUACAAAACAAUAAAGGCAAACUGGAGUGGUAAAAAGGUAAGGCCAAAAGCAAUAAGAAAGCGAAGGGCUAAAACGAAGGCGGUGGCGAAAACCUGCGAGAUGCCUUCACUCCUUGGCGCCAACAAGGACGUCGCCAGGACCCAUCCAGGAAUCACACACAUAUACAUAUGUACUACACAUAUACGCACGCACGCCAGUAUGCGUAUGUUUGUGUGCGGUGAGUUAAUAAUUUAUAUAUUUAUGCCGCUGAAUCGUAAAACGAAGUUGAAAAACCAAAGCCAAAACCAACAAAGGAAUAAUACAAU
rnacentral:lncRNA from 1 species